rnacentral:rRNA from 1 species
UAAGUAAGUGGUGGAAAUUAAACCAAAUGGGAUAUCUUUAGUAAUUGCGAAUGAACAAGGAUAUGCUUAGCUUGACAAAUGGAGCUAUUGGCUUUGAAUUGUAUUUGUGGAAUGUAUUACCAACAGAGGUGCAGGUGCCAGCCUAUUAAAUAAAGCGUCAAUGAGGGUGAGAAUCCUGUUUGUCAUGUGCAGCCCUUUGUGCACGGUGUAUAUUUGCUGAGUCACACUCCUUGGCAUUGGAAUGCAAAGUGGGUGGUAAGUUUCAUGUACAGGUAAACAUGCAAUUGAGACUGAUAGCACACAAGUACCAUGAGGGAAAUAUGAAAAGGACUUUGAAAAGAGAAUUAAAUGAGUUUGUAUUUGCUGAACACAAAGUAAACAGACUUGAUUUGCUUGGUGGGAGUGUUGCACUUGCUUGACAAGAGCUUUGGGCUGUGGGUGUAAUGAUUCUUUCUUUGCAUGCCAGUUUCUAUGUGUGCAUCUGAUUACCUUUGCACAUGAAUGAUAAGUCUCCUGUGGGGGGUGGAUUGCAUGUGCAUGUAAUGAUUUGUGUUUUGAUAAAUGUGUCUGGUGUAUGUGUGUGUGUUCCUGUGCUUGGGGAUGCUUCCUUCCUUGGACUUACAAGCCCUGACACACACAUGCUGGCAAAAUGCUUCUGCUUGACCCG